rnacentral:rRNA from 1 species
UACGAAGGGGGCUAGCGUUGUCCGGAAUUAUUGGGCGUAAAGGGCUCGUAGGCGGUUUGUCGCGUCGGGAGUGAAAACUCAGGGCUUAACCCUGAGCCUGCUCCCGAUACGGGCAGACUAGAGGUAUGCAGGGGAGAACGGAAUUCCUGGUGUAGCGGUGAAAUGCGCAGAUAUCAGGAGGAACACCGGUGGCGAAGGCGGUUCUCUGGGCAUUACCUGACGCUGAGGAGCGAAAGUGUGGGGAGCGAACAGG